rnacentral:rRNA from 1 species
UACGUAGGUGGCAAGCGUUGUCCGGAAUUACUGGGCGUAAAGGGCGCGUAGGCGGCACUUUAAGUCAGAUGUGAAAUCCCAGGGCUUAACUUUGGGCGUGCAUUUGAAACUGGAGAGCUUGAGUGCGGGAGAGGAAAGUGGAAUUCCUAGUGUAGCGGUGAAAUGCGUAGAUAUUAGGAGGAACACCAGUGGCGAAGGCGACUUUCUGGACCGUAACUGACGCUGAGGCGCGAAAGCGUGGGGAGCAAAC